rnacentral:lncRNA from 1 species
GACGUUCCAGCUCACUUGGACCAGCUUCUCGAGCCAUAGCUUCUCAACAGAGACCAUCAGUGGCUCAAGAAGACUUGGAGCAAAUUAUUUAAGAGCUCGAUGCUAAAGCUGAAUCAUGCCAGGCCCUUCCUCCCAAUGUACUGGAUCAUCUCUCUGGAGGACCCUACAUGCCAAUCGCGGUGGAGCCGGUCCAAUCAUGUAUGUCAGGUAAGAUUUCGGGAGAAUCUACCACCUCCUCAGACUUGGAUCGGGGUCAGGGCACUUCUGGCUGGAGAGCACCUGAACGAGUGUGGAGCUCAGGAGCCACUAGGUACUUUUGGGCGUGGCCUUCAGGACCCCGGUUUAUCCUGGUUUGGGACCAACAAGCCUUACCUUCUCCCAGAGACCAUGAAUUUACUCGGCGUGUCCGUCUGGAUUUUUCCUUACACAUUAUCCUCCGUGCAUUUGGCGGGCUGAAUUCCUUAAAUGCUUCUCCGAGAAUGGGGAGAGAGGCUGCAAUGGGCUGAUAGCUCUGAUUCUUUGCCUUUCAGCCCUGCCAUCCAUGCGUCAGCCCGUGAUUGCCUGGCUUGGGGUUUUCUGAGGUGGUCCCUUUUCAUCUCAUGCAGUUACUUAAUUUUCCCUACAGAACCCUCCAGGACUGCUGAUCUGAGAACAGAUGGGUUGGUACGGUGACUGCAGUGGUUUGAUAGAUCUUACUCUUUGCCUUUCAGGACUGCUGUCCGCCAGGUCCUACCCCGAAGCUCUCAUACCAAUUUCUCCAGCACCCAAUGCUGAUAUGGACAGCUACCCCAGCGAGGCGAUCCCGGGAACCAACCACAUCGUUCCGGUCACUAAAAUCUCGCAGGAGAAGAAGAGCCAGCCUGACAGAUUCAGCGAACAUCAACUCAGAGAGUUGUGGGCACGGUUUGAAGUCGUGCCAUACCUGACGACGGAACAAGUGCAAUGCCUGUCUUCUCAGCUGGGUCUGACAACGCUGCAGGAAUGCUUCGUCCAGUCUUUUCUUUGUCUCACAUCUACUAGCAUCCCUGCACAUUCACUUCCCCAACCCCGGCAGCCCGACCUGAGGAAGUGGGGGUUUGUCUUGGGUACUGAGGUAGAAAUCUCUGAUGAUUUUUCUAUUUCAUGGCUUCUUCCUCACACUCCUUCUCGGCAAGCAUCCAUAUUUGACCCCGAGGUUAGAAACGGGUUCCGGAAUCACAGGAAGAAAUACAAGUUGUGGAUUGCCCCGAGACUUCAGACGCCCAUACGUAUCUCUGGGGGGAAGUGCAGACUAUGCCACAGUGCGUGUAUGUACAAGCAAUAG